CGAAGAACCUACCCCAGGCUUGAAGUGCGAGUGAAUAUCGGUGAAAGCCGACUUUCCGGCAAGGACACUAGUAGAGGUGCUGCAUGGCUGUCGUCACCUCGUGUCGUGAGAUGUUGGGUUAAGUCCCGCAACGAGCGCAACCCUUGUCUGCUGUUGCCAUCAGUUCGGCUGGGCACUCUGCGGAGGAUGCCGGUGAUAAACCGGAGGAAGGUGGGGAUGACGUCAAGUCAGCAUGGCCUUUAUGUCUGGGGCUACACACGUGCUACAAUGGCCGGUACAGAGCGUUGCCAACCCGCGAGGGUGAGCUAAUCGCAUAAAGCCGGUCUCAGUUCGGAUUGUAGGCUGCAACUCGCCUGCAUGAAGCUGGAAUCGCUAGUAAUCGCGGAUCAGCAUGCCGCGGUGAAUACGUUCCCGGGCCUUGUACACACCGCCCGUCACAUCACGAAAGCUGGCUGUACUAGAAGUUCGCCGAGCUAACCCGCAAGGG
rnacentral:rRNA from 1 species